GACAGAGGAUGCAAGCGUUAUCCGGAAUGAUUGGGCGUAAAGCGUCUGUAGGUGGCUUUUCAAGUCCGCCGUCAAAUCCCAGGGCUCAACCCUGGACAGGCGGUGGAAACUACCAAGCUGGAGUACGGUAGGGCAGAGGGAAUUUCCGGUGGAGCGGUGAAAUGCAUUGAGAUCGGAAAGAACAACCAACGGCGAAAGCACUCUAGCUGGGCCGACACUGACACUGAGAGACGAAAGCUAGGGGAGCAAAUGGG
rnacentral:rRNA from 1 species